rnacentral:lncRNA from 10 species
CAAAUGGAGGCAGCAUUAACAGUUCUACACAUUUACUGGAUCUUUUGGAUGAACCAAUUCCAGGUGUUGGUACAUAUGAUGAUUUCCAUACUAUUGAUUGGGUGCGAGAAAAAUGUAAAGACAGAGAAAGGCAUAGACGGUUUACUUAUACCCUGUAACUUUCCAGAAAGGAUUUCAGGUAGCUAAAAAACAAAGAAAUACAAUAAGAAGACAAAAUAAGAAGGAAAGGGAAAAAUACAGCACAGGAGUUGGGGGGAAGAACAAGCCAAGUUCCAGAUAUGGAGGUCAGCAUGAUUUUGGGCUUUGAGCAGCCCACCAGCUAAGGCAAAAAAGGAAACUCAUUGCAUAGCUCUUACCUAUGGAAAAAGAAGAAAUCUACUGGGGGCAGAUGGUCUUGUGGGAUUUUGCUGUUUUCUUUUAUCUCCUUUCCCAGCAUUUGAUUCUGAGAUAUUUCUCAAUUUGGCUCCCAAAUAAAGCUUAUUGAGUGUUGUAA